rnacentral:rRNA from 1 species
GGACGAACGCUGGCGGCGCUGCUUAACACAUGCAAGUCGAACGGUAAGGCCCUUCGGGGUACACGAGUGGCGAACGGGUGAGUAACGCGUGAGUAACCUGCCCUUGACUCUGGGAUAACAGACGGAAACGUCUGCUAAUACCGGAUACUCAGCCUUGUGGGCAUCCACAGGGCUGGAAAGCUCCGGCGGUCAAGGAUGGACUCGCGUCCUAUCAGCUUGUUGGUGGGGUAAUGGCCUACCAAGGCGACGACGGGUAGCCGGCCUGAGAGGGCGACCGGCCACAUUGGGACUGAGAUACGGCCCAGACUCCUACGGGAGGCAGCAGUGGGGAAUAUUGCACAAUGGGCGCAAGCCUGAUGCAGCAACGCCGCGUGCGGGAUGACGGCCUUCGGGUUGUAAACCGCUUUCAGCAGGGACGAAGCGCAAGUGACGGUACCUGCAGAAGAAGCACCGGCUAACUACGUGCCAGCAGCCGCGGUGAUACGUAGGGUGCGAGCGUUGUCCGGAUUUAUUGGGCGUAAAGAGCUUGUAGGCGGUCGGUCACGUCGAAAGUGCAAACUCAGGGCUUAACCCUGAGCCUGCUUUCGAUACGGGCUGACUAGAGGAAGGUAGGGGAGAAUGGAAUUCCCGGUGGAGCGGUGGAAUGCGCAGAUAUCGGGAGGAACACCAGUGGCGAAGGCGGUUCUCUGGACCUUUCCUGACGCUGAGAAGCGAAAGCGUGGGGAGCAAACAGGCUUAGAUACCCUGGUAGUCCACGCCGUAAACGGUGGGUACUAGGUGUGGGGGACAUUCCACGUUCUCUGUGCCGUAGCUAACGCAUUAAGUACCCCGCCUGGGGAGUACGGCCGCAAGGCUA